CGAUAAUACUUAUUUGUAAGUAGCCAACUAGGUACGACUACUGAGGAUGGACCCGCGUUGUAUUAGCUAGUUGGUAGUGUAAUGGACUACCAAGGCGAUGAUACAUAGCCGACCUGAGAGGGUGAUCGGCCACAUUGGGACUGAGACACGGCCCAAACUCCUACGGGAGGCAGCAGUAGGGAAUCUUCGGCAAUGGACGAAAGUCUGACCGAGCAACGCCGCGUGAGUGAAGAAGGUUUUCGGAUCGUAAAACUCUGUUGUUAGAGAAGAAUGUUGAUUAGAGUGGAAAAUUAAUCAAGUGACGGUAUCUAACCAGAAAGGGACGGCUAACUACGUG
rnacentral:rRNA from 1 species